CUGAAAUAUUUGGUGCAAGGGCUCUGCCCCGGCUCCUAGCCAGAAUCGAGAGCAGACUCCUUCUAAGACACAUACGCCUUAUUGGCAUGAGGCCACCUUUGCCUAACAUGCUAUAUAAGCUAACAGAGAAAAAGCGGACAUUGGGAGACUCAGGACUACACGCAGGGAUUCUGCCCAACGGGACCCCGACCAGCCCCUGUCUUGGGAUUUCCCCAGUUGUCCUACGAUGUUGAGCCAAGGUGUAAAACAUGGUAUUUUGACAUGUGUAAAUGAAUACUACAAUGAAGAAAAGCUGCCUAUCCUUCUAACAGGAGUUGAUUUUCAUCCUUCAGCCUGUCUCACAGAGUAAGAAGUUUACAGGAGCUCCAACCUGACCAACUGCCAUGUCCAUUUCAAAGACAAGAGUAAGGAAAGAAGCCAAGGCAAAUGAGCUUACACAGCCAUUGUAGCUUCAUCUAAGCUGUCUUCCCAAAGUCAAGACAAUAUCUCUUAUUCCUAAUUGGCCUGAAUUUCUCUAGUCAUAUUUUGCUAAGAGACAGAUCAGAAAUGACAACCAUUUGUUGUGGUAUUGCUAACCUGAAUAAAACUUAGUCUUUGUGCUUAACUGCAAGGGAAGAAAGAAAAUUGAGAGGGACAGCCAUUAUUUUUUCUCUAUUCUAAAUUCAAAGUCAAAAAGAAAAAUUAUGAGCUAUUAUCAGGUGUAUUUUUUUACUUCAUAAAUCAUCACUUUUCUCUAGGUGUUUGUUCAUUCCUAGGUGGAAAAAAGAAGUAUUGGUUGAUUGGACAAAGACUUCUCUCUUGAUUAAAUGAAGGUGUGUAAAGGAGAGGGAGAAAAAUUUCUGGUUAAGGAGAAAUGUGUUUCAAAGAAAAGAAAAGGAUGAGAUCCCAGCUGUUGACUCUGUGUUAGUUCACGUGCCACUGAAGUUUUGUUCAUAAAGUCUUUUCCUACACCAAUACCACAGCGAUAUAUGCACAUCCAUGUUUAUAGUGGCACAGUUUGUAAUAGCUAAAUCUUGUAAACAGCCCAAAUGCCCAUCACCUGGUGAGUGGAUAAAGAUGUGGGGGGGGGGUAUAAAAUGGAGUAUUACUCAGCCAUAAAGAAUGAGAAACUAGAGACAUUUAUAGCUAAAUGGAUGCAUAUUGAUGCCAUAGUCUUAAGUGAAUAAAUAGGACACAUGUGUAAAUACUGAAUAGUGUCUAUGGUGUGAGAAACUAAAAGUGUAAAUAAGUACCAAAAUGUAUAAUAGAUAAUCUGAAAUAGGAAGAAAAGAUCCAAAGGGGAAGGGGAAGUGGGAGGGCAAGGGUAAAGAAAGAAGGGGAAAAAUGUGAGAAAAGAAGAAAGAAAUGGAAACAAAGUUUUUUGUAAAUAGG
rnacentral:lncRNA from 1 species